GAUGAACGCUGGCGGCGUGCUUAACACAUGCAAGUCGAACGGGAAAUAUUUCAUUGAGACUUCGGUGGAUUUGGUCUAUUUCUAGGGGCGGACGGGUGAGUAACGCGUGGGUAACCUGCCUUAUACAGGGGGAUAACAGUCAGAAAUGGCUGCUAAUACCGCAUAACCGCACAGGGCUGCGUGGCUCAGUGUGAAAAACUCCGGUGGUAUAAGAUGGACCCGCGUUGGAUUAGCUGGUUGGUGGGGUAACGGCCCACCAAGGCGACGAUCCAUAUCCGGCCUGAGAGGGUGAACGGCCACAUUGGGACUGAGACACAGCCCAAACUCCUACGGGAGGCAGCAGUGGGGAAUAUUGCACAAUGGGGGAAACCCUGAUGCACCGACGCCGCGUGAAGGAAGAAGUAUCUCGGUAUGUAAACUUCUAUCAGCAGGGAAGAUAGUGACGGUACCUGACUAAGAAGCCCCGGCUAACUACGUGCCAGCAGCCGCGGUAAUACGUAGGGGGCAAGCGUUAUCCGGAUUUACUGGGUGUAAAGGGAGCGUAGACGGUGUGGCAAGUCUGAUGUGAAAGGCAUGGGCUCAACCUGUGGACUGCAUUGGAAACUGUCAUACUUGAGUGCCGGAGGGGUAAGCGGAAUUCCUAGUGUAGCGGUGAAAUGCGUAGAUAUUAGGAGGAACACCAGUGGCGAAGGCGGCUUACUGGACGGUAACUGACGUUGAGGCUCGAAAGCGUGGGGAGCAACCAGGAUUAGAUACCCUGGUAGUCCACCCCGUAAACGAUGAAUACUAGGUGUCGGGGAGCAUGGCUCUUUGGUACCGUCGCAAACGCACAUAAAUAAUCCCACCUGGGGAGUGCGUUCGCACGAAUGAAACUCAAAGGAAAAGACGCGGAGCCGCGCACGCGCUGGAGCACGUGGUUUAUUUUUAAGCAACGCGAAGAGCCCCACCACGUCUUGACAUCCGCCUGACCGAUCCUUAACCGGAUAUAUCUUUCUGGACAGGCGAGACACGUGGUGCACGGUUGUCUUCAGCUCGUGUCGUGAGAGGUUGGGUUAAGUCUCGCACCGAGCGCACCCCCCCUCCUCAGUAGCCAGCCUUUAAGGUGGGCACUCUGGGGAGACUGCCAGGGAUAACCUGGAGGAAGGCGGGGAUGACGUCAAAUCAUCACGCCCCCUAUGAUUUGGGCUACACACGUGCUACAAUGGCGUAAACAAAGAGAAGCGAGAUCGUGAGAUGGAGCAAAUCCCAAAAAUAACGUCCCAGUUCGGACUGUAGUCUGCAACCCGCCUACACGAAGUUGGAAUCGCUAGUAAUCGCGGAUCAGAAUGCCGCGGUGAAUACGUUCCCGGGUCUUGUAC
rnacentral:rRNA from 1 species